AUACUAGAAGCAUCCAGCCCCUGAUCUAAACUAUUACAUGUUGCGAAGUCCUCUCCCUCCAGGUGUCCCUUAUCGAUUUCUCCCGAACAUACCGGUCAAGGCUUUCUUCCUCGUCUCUUUUCUAUUCUUCCUCUUUCCCGCAAAGAAAUUGGUGUCCCUUCUCUCACUCAAAGGCUGCGCUUGAAUCCCCAUCAUCUAAGAUGGAGUCUCUGAAGUUCUCCAUUUGAAAUAGGCACAGCUUUAUGGCUGCAAAUGGCUGGAUUGCGAUAGUAGUUUGGGUGUUCGCCUUUGAGCUCGGAUUGCUUUGGCGAUGAUGUUAAUUGGAUUUGUUGUCGUUUGAAUUGGGUGAUGAUAUUUGGAGUUUGCUUGAGUUAUCUCUUGAAGUUUUGGCUGCUGAUUGCUUGGGCUUGAGGAAAAGAGUGUGGUGAUGUUUCUGAUAUUACAGAGUUGUCUUAGAUCAGAGUUCAUGAUCAAGUUUUGCUCGCUUGUGGAUUGAGUGCCUCUUUUUUUUGGCUUUACUGAGUAUGUGCUGCUGUUUUCAUUAGUUUCUGCUUAGUAUGCAUUUUGUUUGGAAUGGUGGCAUUUUAUUAAGAUAGUUGUAUGAAAUAGAAAGUCCACACUGAUCUGGGUAAAUUUGAUGUAAUUUUGAUACCAUGUGGUGGACAGAUUUGUAAGUGAAUUAUAACUGAUGCCUGUGUAUAUAAAGCAGUAAAUCCUACCCUUUUUGUCUUACUGAAUCUCAGCAAGUGUUUUCUCGUUUGAACUUUGAAAC